CUGGCCGCCUAUCUUCUGGGAUGUGAGGAGCCCCUCUGCCUGGCUGCCCAGUCUGGAAAGUGAGGAGUGCCUCUUCCCGGCCGCCAUCCCAUCUAGGAAGCGAGGAGCGUCUCUGCCCGGCCGCUCAUCGUCUGAGAUGUGGGGAGCGCCUUUGCCCCGCCGCCCCGUCUGCGGUGUGAGGAGCGCCUCUGCCCGGCCGCGACCCCGUCUGGGAGGUGAGGAGCAUCUCUGCCCAGCUGCCCCGUCUGAGAAGUGAGGAGACCCUCUGCCUGGCAACUGUCCCGUCUGAGAAGUGAGGAGCCCCUCCGCCUGGCAGCCGCCCCAUCUGAGAAUAUGGAAAUAGAGCAGAGAAGAGCCCCUCCAGGUGUGAGCAGAACCUUGAAGGAGACAGGGAGCAGCCAUGUGGCUCUCAGAGGAACAGCAUUUCCAGGAGGAAUUGUGAUUGUAUUUCUGGGAACACAUCUUGGCAGGGUAAGUAAUUUCUAAUUUGGGACUACUUUUGAAUUAGUUUUAAAAGGAAACUUUUCAUAUGCCAUCUUAAUUUAAAGAGUAGAAAUGUUUGUAUUAUUUGGAGCUGAUUGAGGUUUUAAAAAUCAACUUUUUUGAGUUAUACUUCAUUUCCAAUACAAUUUUUUUUUUUGAGACUGAGUCUCGCUCUGUUGCCCAGGCUGGAGUGCAGUGGCGCGAUCUUGG
rnacentral:lncRNA from 1 species